rnacentral:tRNA from 1 species
GGCGUAGCUCAGUGGUUGAGCAUCAGUCUGUGAACCAGCAGGUCAUGGGUUCAAUUCCCAGUCAGGGCCC